rnacentral:rRNA from 1 species
AGCGAACGCUGGCGGCAGGCUUAACACAUGCAAGUCGAGCGGGCACUUCGGUGUCAGCGGCAGACGGGUGAGUAACACGUGGGAACGUACCCUUUGGUUCGGAAUAACGCUGGGAAACUAGCGCUAAUACCGGAUACGCCCUUUUGGGGAAAGGCUUGCUGCCGAAGGAUCGGCCCGCGUCUGAUUAGCUAGUUGGUGGGGUAAUGGCCUACCAAGGCGUCGAUCAGUAGCUGGUCUGAGAGGAUGAUCAGCCACACUGGGACUGAGACACGGCCCAGACUCCUACGGGAGGCAGCAGUGGGGAAUAUUGGACAAUGGGCGCAAGCCUGAUCCAGCCAUGCCGCGUGAGUGAUGAAGGCCUUAGGGUUGUAAAGCUCUUUUGUCCGGGACGAUAAUGACGGUACCGGAAGAAUAAGCCCCGGCUAACUUCGUG